rnacentral:rRNA from 1 species
AGUGAACGCUGGCGGUAGGCCUAACACAUGCAAGUCGGACGGCAGCACAGUAAGAGCUUGCUCUUACGGGUGGCGAGUGGCGGACGGGUGAGGAAUACAUCGGAAUCUACUUUUUCGUGGGGGAUAACGUAGGGAAACUUACGCUAAUACCGCAUACGACCUACGGGUGAAAGCAGGGGAUCUUCGGACCUUGCGCGAUUGAAUGAGCCGAUGUCGGAUUAGCUAGUUGGCGGGGUAAAGGCCCACCAAGGCGACGAUCCGUAGCUGGUCUGAGAGGAUGAUCAGCCACACUGGAACUGAGACACGGUCCAGACUCCUACGGGAGGCAGCAGUGGCGAAUAUUGGACAAUGGGCGCAAGCCUGAUCCAGCCAUACCGCGUGGGUGAAGAAGGCCUUCGGGUUGUAAAGCCCUUUUGUUGGGAAAGAAAAGCAGCAGGUUAAUACCCCGCUGUUCUGACGGUACCCAAAGAAUAAGCACCGGCUAACUUCGUG